UGUUGUGAGAGUGAGUUUGAAUGUUUUGUGAAUGUGUGUCUGUGUCGUGUGAUAUCUUUAAAAAUCUACACCGUGAUCUUAUUUGAUCCAGUCGGAUGGACGCCCUGCUCCGAUCUGGAAAUGAUAUGAUUCGAAAUGCGAGCCUGUUUGGCGGUGAGCAUGAGGCAUUUCACAAACUUCAGGGCAAGCACAAUUGAUAUUGUGGUUUAGAAGUGAUGAAUUGAUCAGAUAUACUAGUUCGAUAGAGGCUUUGGGUUUUACCCAUUGCUUUCGACACGGACGAUGAGUAUAGAGGCGAUUCUGAUCUUA